AAGGUUCAUUAUUUGUGACGGCCACAACUUGCGGUCACUAAAAGUAUAUUAUCUGUGACGACUAGAUGUGGCCGCCACUAAAAGUUUGGGAAAAGUGUUUUGAGUCAUUAUGCUUAUUUGUGAUGGUCGGGGUUUGUGGCCACUAAAAGAUGACUAUUUGUGACGGCAUAAUGUAGUAGCCACUAAAGGUGAAUUUUUUAUGACAACCGAACAUGGCAGUCACUAAAAACUUUUGGCAUAAGCACAAUCGAUCUGAUUAGGGAUAUAUAGGGAUUUAAUUAAUACAUUAUAUGUUUCAUUAAAUAAUUAGCAGAAUCUAUACAUAUUAGCGUAACAAGUUAUAAUUAUUUCCUGCUCUUUUGUUAUUAAGAAAACCGACCGGGAGCGACGAGACGAUGGCCAAUUAAUUUAAUGGCUGCCUAAAAAAGUUGUGGGCAGUAACAUUAAUUAAUUAAUGGCAGCCAACUAUCUUAACUAUCUUAAUUAAUUAAUUUAAUGGCUGCCUAAAAAAGUGAGAGGCUGAACAUGCACUUAAGAUUCCGUUUUGAGAGACUGAACAGCCAAUUAUUUAAGAUUUCAUUAAAUAAUAAUAAUUAUUAUUUUUUUAAUUUCUCUGAAUUGGUUGAAUGGGAAAAAAACCCAUUCCACCCCUUGCGUACACUUUAUAUGUCUUAAUGUAAGGGUACAAUUGACUUUUUUGAGUAAAAUAUAAAUCACAACAUAUUUAUAUUAAUUAAUUUUUUUCUACCCCUUAUCUCCCUCCCUCAUCUCUCCUGCAUCCAUUUCCCUCCAUCUCCAUCUCCCUCUGUCUCUUUCUCUCCUGCCUCAUUCAUUCCCCAUCGCCUCCGUCUCCUUCAACGCAACAUCUUGCCUCCAUCUCCUUCUCCAUCUCCGGCUCCGUCGUAGCCUCCUUGUUGCCUCAACGUUGUCGCUACUGCCGCCAUAUCCGCUACCUCAACGCCGCCAUCGCAUCCGAUGCCUCAACACCAUCGCCGUCUCCAUCUCCACUGCAGCCUCCAGCUCCAGUAGGUCUAUCUCUGAUUUUGUUACAGUAGAGAACAUAUUCUGUAUUUGGUGCUUAGAGAACCAACAAAUGAUUAAAUUAAUCUAUUCUAUUAUCUUUUUUUUUCUCAAUAAAUGUGAACAGAUUUUGUUUUUAUUGUAAGUGUGUAAGUUGAACAGAUUUUGUUUUUUAUUUGUCCAACAUUAUUUUACCUAAUAGUUAUUUGUUAACAUUAUUGGUAUCGGAUUGUUAUAUGAAAAUGAUUUGUGAAUUAGAAUUUAUUUAGUGGGAGCAGUGAAGUGGAUGCAGGAUGGAGAACGAGGUUCCCUUCCCUUGGCGUCUCCUUCAUCUUUUCACUCUGACUAAUGAGUAAUAGGGCUUUUGAUUUUUGUGGUUUUCUAAUUUUUAGUGGAUCAGCAUGAGUGUUUUAUAUUUUAUUUUAUUUUAUUAUCUAAAUCAUUUAUUUUAUAACAUAAAAUAUUUAGUACAUAUUUUAUUAGUUUUAAUAAUUAUGAUCAUUUUUUAAAUUAAAUAGAACAAAAAUAUUAUUAUUAUUAUUAGUUUUAAUAAUUAUGAUCAUAUGCAAUAUAUACCUCUGCAGCCAACGAUAAAUGUGCUUCUUUUGCAAUUGUUUUAGCUCACUGCACUUAGCCUUUAGAAUCUCUAGCUAUAAUUCCACCAAACAUUUUGCCUUUACUAGAGGAUGCAACCACAGUCCUGCUUAGAUUACUUGUGUUGCAUGUUGCAUAAUGCUACAUAUUAUCAUGAUUCCUCCCGUUUAUCUAUUGGUCCACCAAAAUGAAACAUUCAUAUGCCUCUUUGGGUAAAGGAAUCCUUUCAAGCAACUAAAAAGUGGAAAGACUCACACUGAUAGUAGCCCCAAAAUCCAAAAUAUUAGAAUUCAAUCUAAAUGCUUACACCAGAAGGUUGUUUCCAUGUUGCGGUCUCAUUUCAUAACAGAAUAGCGCUACAUUGUGAGAUCAAAUACAAUAUCUAAUGUUCACUGAUGUCUGCAUUAAGCCACUAAGCUCUUCAUCAGUAUGUUCAAUUCCUACACUGUCUCUCACAUAAGUGGUAGUUAAAAAGGAGAAGAAACUGUCUUCCAGCAGUGAACGAAGAAGAAAAAUCUGGAUAGGGCUUUACUUACCAAGAAAAAGAAAAAAAAUAAAUAGAGAAAAAAUAAAUGUGAACAGAUUCAGGGUGAGAAGACCAACGCUCAGGUGGAUAAACCUGUUUUUGAAAAUAAUAAGAUGAAAAGUGUUGAGAUAGUUAAGAAAAAGAAAGUGAGUCAGCAUUUCAAUUAGUGUCCCUAAUUGAAAUUGUUGAUAAUGCAUCUAAAGUUAUUCCUAAUAAGCCACUCGAGGUGGGGUCAUUGAUGAAGAAUCGUAUUUAUAUAUAACUAGUUAUUAUUUUGUUAGUGCGAGUAUAACAGAAGUUAUAAUUAAUAUAUUUAAAUAAGGAAGGAUUCAUGCCCCUUUCUGGUAAAGACUCUUUCUGAGAAUAAAGUUAUGUGACUAACUCUAUAUAUCUUGUUUUAGUACUAUAUAUAUUUUAAUUAAUAGCAACAUGCUGUGAAUUUAUUAUUAUUAUUUUACUAUUAUUAAUUUCGAUGGGAUUGCUGUUGGUUUGUCACUUUGACAUUGAGAAGGAUGGGGAAUUCAAUCUCAUUAUGACACUGGGUUGUGGGGUGGGGAAGGAAACGAGAUGGAAGUGGUGAGGUGAAAGGUCCACAUGAUUGCAUGAGAGAGAUAUGGAGGAAAAUGGAAAGGAAAAAGAGGGAUGCUUCAGUUUCUUCUUAUCCAAACAAUGAUACAUGUUUAGGUGAAAAAUCCCACUGUUGCUUUCAAGUAAUUAAGAUGGAAUAUUUUAUAUAUAUACAUAUGCAUAAGAUUCAUCUUGUGUUGAUACUUACUUGGUAGUAAUAUCCAACGGAGAGGAAAGCAAAACUGUUGGCCUAAUUAAGCACCCCAAACAUAGCUAACCAGUAACAGGAGGUUUGAGCUUGAGCAAAGGCAUGCAUGGGCUGGGCUGGUUCACUAUUACCAGCCUACUAAACAAGGAAAGAGAAGAAUAAGAGAAGGUGGAAACAUUGGCUAGUGGCGAUUGUCAAAAGCUCCGAAAGCAUCAUCAUAAUUAGUACCCUCUACCUGACAAACUGAGAAAGUACUGUGGUCAAACAUUCUGUGUAUACUAUUAUAUAUUUAUAUAUAAAUAGUAUAUAUAUAUAUGUAUAUAAACAGAUGAUAAUUAAUUAAUUAUAUAUUAUCAUAAUAUAUAUAUAAACAUAUUGUGGAUGAUUCAUUUAAUUAGUUUCUUGCUUUUUCAGCUCAAAAUUUUCUUUAUUAUCUUGCUAUUAUGGAUGAGUACAAGAAAUUAGACUGACUUUAUUAUUGAUGUUUGUUAAUCUAAAUAGAGGUUCAAUGUGCAAUAUGAAAUAAUUUCUUUGUUAAUUUAAUAUUGUCACCCUUCUCAUUUCCCUUGUAGUGUUGGUUUAUUUUCAAAUCGUUGCGUUAUUUGGGAUUGUAUUUGCAUUGCAAGAGGUAUGUAUCCCGUGAGUAAUGGAGAUUUUAUCACUCCCUCUGGGUGGUGGGAGAUCACUCUAAUUUAUAGGUAUGGAAUAUUAGUGAAUAUAUAUAUAUGUGUGUGUGUGUACAUUGACAUUGUGUAUGUACAUAUCCCGUGAGUGAUGGGGAUUUUAUCACUCUCUCCGAGUGAUGGGAGAUCACCCUAAUUUAUAAGUAUGGAAUAGUAGUGAAUAUAUAUAUAUAUAUGUACAUUGACAUUAUGUAUGUACAUACCCCGUGAGUGAUGGGGAUUUUAUCACUCUCUUCGAGUGGUGAGAGAUCACCCUAAUUUAUAGAUAUGGAAUAUUAAGUGAAUAUAUAUAUAUGUACAUUGACAUUGUGUAUGUACAUACCCCGUGAGUAAUGGGGAUUUUAUCACUCCUUCCGGGUGGUAGGAGAUCACCCUAAUUUAUGUGUUUAUUUGUCCAUUAUGUUUAGACUAUCUAAUGGAUGUUUAACAACUUUUAUAAAUUUUACGUUAAACUUGUAUCUUGCAUUUGUUGUAGUUUCCUUUAUUAGUUUUUUGAAUAGGAAUAUUAAUUUUUUUAUUAAUAUUUAUUUUUAAUUAGUGUGAUGGAUAGGAGUUGGAUGCAAUUGGAUGACAGACUUUGUGACCAAUACUUGAAUGGAGUUAAUGAUUUCCUUGAAUUCACAUUCAGAAACCCAUGCAUAGAUGGAAAAAUUCGGUGUUCUUGUGUGCAAUGCAACAAUACAUAUUUUUUUGGUCAAGAUGAUGUCAAGUUUCAUCUAGUUAUGUAUGGAAUAGUUAAGAAUUAUGUUAAUUGGGUACUACCACGGGGAAGAUGUAUUGGUUGAGAUAGAUAUUAGUGAUGAGGAUGAUGACAACAAUAAUGAUAAGGAUAUGCGUCCUACGCUGGAAGAAGCCUUUGGGUUGCCAGGUGUUAAUAUUGAUAUGGGUCACGAUUCAUCUAACGAGAAUGAGCCAAACUCAAGUGCAAAUUUUUUUUAUGAAUUAUUGCAUGAUGUCGAACAACCUCUAUUUCCAGGAUACACCCAUGUGUCGAAGCUUUCAUUUCUUGUGAAACUAUUGCAUUUGAAAUGUUUAAGUGGGUGGAGUAACAAUUCAUUCAACAUGCUACUUGAGAUAAUAAGAUUUACAUUUCCAGUGAGUGAAACUGUCCCAUCUUCUUAUUAUGAAGCUAGGAAAUUCAUCCGAGAUUUAGGACUCGAUUAUGAAAAGAUAGAUGCAUGCCCAAAUGAUUGCAUACUUUUUCGAAAAGAAUAGGCAAAUUGUCAUGAAUGUGUGAAAUGUGGUGCUCCUAGGUGGAAGUCAGUGGUAGGAAAAAAAGAUGUAACUGGAAAAAAGGUACCUACAAAAAUCUUGAGGUAUUUUCCAUUGACCCCAAGAAUUCAGAGGCUAUAUAUGUCAUCCAAAACAGCUUCAGAUAUGCGAUGGCACGAAGAUAAACAUGUUAAGGAUGGGUUAUUCCGUCAUCCAGCUGAUUCUGAAGCUUGGAAAAAGUUAGAUGAGCAUUAUCCUUCGUUUUCAAUUGAACCUCAUAAUGUUAGACUUGGAUUGGCAAGUGAUGGAUUUAAUCCAUUUGGCUCAAUGAGCAUUGCUCAUAGUACAUGGCCUGUGGUUGUAGUUCCAUACAAUUUGCCCCCUUGGAUGUGCAUGAAACAGCCUUAUCUCAUAUUAACCUUACUUAUUCUUAGUCCAAAAGCUCCUGGAAACCAGAUUGAUGUUUACUUGCAACCUUUGAUUGAAGAAUUGAAGGAGUUAUGGGAGGCCGGUGUUCAAACGUAUGAUGCCUCAAAGAAAUAAAAUUUUCAGAUGCAUGCAGCUAUUUUAUGGACUAUUAAUGACUUUCAUGCCUAUGCAAAUUUGUCUGGAUAUAGUACAAAGGGAAAGUGGGCUUGUCCUUGUUGCAACAAACACACCGAGUCUCAUUGGCUAAGUUAUGGAAAAAAAAUUUGCUAUAUGGGCCACCGUCGGUUUUUACCUAAGAACCAUAAAUGGCGAAAUAGUAAAGUUCAUUUCAAUGGGAAGGUGGAACGAAGGGACCGACCUCCACAACUUUCAAUGGAUAUGAUGUGUUUGAACAAUUAUGCAUUGUUGAAAAUGGAAAAUGGGAUAAUUCUAAUGAUACUUGGCUAAAACAUUGGAAGAAAAAAAGUAUAUUAUUUGAGCUGUCUUAUUGGAAAGAACUUUUGUUGCGUCACAAUCUAGAUGUUAUGCACAUUGAAAAAAAUGUAUGUGACAAUGUCAUUGGAACGAUCAUGCAUAUUCAAGGAAAAUCGACAGAUGGUAAGAAAGCUCGCAUGGACUUGAAAGAGAUGGGCAUUAGAGAGACACUCCACCUACUUGGUGAAGAUGAUAAAAUACCUCUUGCAUGUUACAUGUUGUCUUCAAAAGAAAAAUUGAUGUUGUGUGAAUAUUUGAAAGAAGUUAAAGUACCAGAUGGUUAUUCGUCGAAUAUCUCAAGGUGUGUUAAUAUCAAGGAGCGCAAAAUCUUGUCCUUAAAGAGUCAUGAUUGGCACAUUCUUAUGCAACGAUUACUCCCUCUUGCUAUACGAGGCCUUCUCCCUAAGGAUGUUUCUUGUGCAUUGAUUGAAUUGAACAACUUUUUUCAAGAGAUUUGUUCCAAAGUAUUGAGGGUUGAAAGGUUAAAUGAACUUGAGCUCAAAUUGCUGAAACUCUUUGCAAAUUAGAAUGAAUAUUCCUUUCAACUUUUUUCAACAUUAUGGAACACUUGCCUAUUCACUUACCUAGUGAAGCUAAGAUUGUCAGCCCUGUCCAGUAUCGUUGAAUGUAUCCAAUUGAAAGGUUUGUACAUGUUCUUAUUCAUACUAGUUUUUUUGGAAAAAAAAAAUGCCUAAUUUUGUUUUUUAGAUAUCUAAGUUAUCAAUUUCUUUGACAGGUAUUUACGGACAUUGAAAUCUUAUGUGCGUAAUAAUAGUCGUCCAGAGGGUUCAAUUGCAGAGGGAUAUCUUGCAAAAGAAUGCCUAAAUUUUUGUUCUAGAUACCUAAAAGGAUGUGAAACAAAAUUCAAUCACGUUAAAAGAAAUGCUAACGACGAUGGUGUGAAAACAAUUGGUGGAUUAUCUGUGUUUGCUCAAACAUGUCGUGCUUUAGGAAAAGCGACUCAAUGUGAGUUUGGAAGAGAGGAAUGGUCCCAAGCUCGAUUAUAUGUCCUUAAAAAUUGUGAUGAAAUCCAAUCAUUCGUAGAGUAAGUGAUAAUUUUGACAUAUUUUACACCAAUUAAUUUAUAACAAUUAUUUUUCCAUGGAAUUUCUCUUACCGCUUUUUGUGUGUAAUUUAAAAUAGAGAAUACAAACAAUUUGUGGUCCAAUCUCUAGCCCAUUCUCAUCCUAGAAACGUAAAAAACAUUCACAAUGGAGAAUUUCCAAGUUGGUUUGAGCAUCAAGUAAGUAUAUUAAGAUCCAAUAUGUAUCAUUUAAAUGUUUUGUGGUUACAUGUUCAAUGCCAUCCAUUUGAACUAUAUUGUUAUUUAACCCAUUUCUCUUUAAAUGGAUAGGUGACACAAAUGUAUAAUUUAGAAAAUGGCAAAGUCACCAAUCAUUUGUUAUCACUUGCUUGAGGGCUAAAUCAUAGUGCAUUGUCAUACAAAGGCUACAUUGUUAAUGAUUUUCAGUUCCACACUCGAGAUCGAGAGAAGGAAUUGAAAACUCAAAAUAGUGGAGUUUUCGUGAGAGGGGAAACUAAUAGUUUUGCAACUGCGAAAGAUGGUAACCCAACCCUUGGUAAUAUGGAUUACUAUGGCGUGUUAAUGAAUAUUAUUGAAUUGCAAUAUCUUGGUGGUUUACGAGUAAUACUAUUCAAGUGUGAUUGGAGAGAUGUAUGCAAUAAAGGAAGAGGAAUCAAGACAUAUAACUACGGGUUCACUUCCUUAAAUUUUGAUAGAUCAUUGCAGACUAAUGAACCAUUUAUACUUGCUUGCCAAGCUGAACAGGUGUUUUAUGUAAGAGAAAUGGGGGAACCUAAUUGGUAUGUUGUUCAACAAUCACAACCUCAGAACUUUUAUGAUAUGGAUGCCUAUGAAGCCACUAGUGAUGAACCAUUUCAACAACAUGAUCUGUCAAACAUUUGCCAAUGUUCAACCCAAGAUACAAAUCUAAAUGACUGUGAGUUUUCAUGCCAUAGAAGUGACAUUCCACUAGAGAUUGCAUUUGAAGAAGGGACAUCAAGACAACGAAGGAAAAGAAUGUAUCCUUCAGUUAAGGGAAAGAAAAAGACUAGAGGAAGAAGAAAACAAAAACCAGUUUUAAGUGAUGAUGAUUGAUUGUAUAUGUCUUUGUUGCUUAGUUUUGAUAUGUUUCUUUUUUUUUUCCUCUAUUUUUCUAAAGCUUAGUGUAUUUCAAUGUUUCUUUUUUCUUUAGUCACUUUUUAUAUAUAAGUCUAUGUUGUAGCCAAUGGAGGGUAUAGCUGAAACCAACGAACAAACUCUCAUCACACCACCUAAUUUUGAUCCAUCUACAAGACAAAGUUGCACUGGUAAGAAAUAAUUAGCUAUGUUUUAAUAGUUUGGUUUUCUCAUCUAUAAAAUGAUAAACUAAUUUUUAGUUUUUAUUAUCAUAUAUUUAUUGUAUAGGAUCAUCAUCAUCUAAUGCAAGAAAAAGAGGUUUAGGGAAAACAAAGAAUAAAAUACUAACAUCUUUGGCUCCUGGUCAAAAAUUGCCAUUGGAAUUCAAUAAUUAUGGUCAAGCCAUUGGAUUAAAUGCUAAUGUGUUUGCAAGUCAUAUUGGCAAGAUUGUUAAAGUAUGUGAAGAUGCACCAAUUUCUUACAAGCGUUGGGAAGAUGUUCCACAAGACAAUAAGAAUAAAAUGCAUUCUUAUAUACUGGAGAAAUUUGAAUUUGAAGAAAACGAAGGCUGACUAUUAUUUUGUUUGUUCUAACAACUGUCGACCAAGGACAAUGGAGACAAUUUGUCACUUGGUUGAGCUCACAUGAGUUUCAGGAUGAAAUAUUAGGACACGAACCGUCUGCAUGGGAAAAGUUCAAGGUGACACACAAGAAAAAAGACGGGUCAAUGGUUGAUUCCACGUCAAAAGAAAUAGUGGACAAAAUUCAAUCUUUAGUAACCCAAAGAGUUGAAGAAGAACCUUCUCAAACUAUUGAUGAAAAUGAAAUUUUCUUUGAAGUAAUGGGAAGAGAAUGACAUGGACGUGUUCGUGAGUUCAUUACAGAAUUAGAACAAAUGUGACAACAUAAUAAUGGUUUAAAAAAUGAAAUGCAACUUUUGAAAGAGAAAAAUGAAGCGUUGUCGACAGAAUUGGACCAAGUCAAAGAAAGACAAUCAAGUUUUGAAGCUUUUAUGGAAGAUGUUAGGGCAGGAAGGAUUAGAAAUAACAAUUGACUAUAGACUUAAUUGUUUGAUUUCUUUUUUUGAUGUAAAGUGCUAGAUGUC